rnacentral:tRNA from 1 species
GGGGUUGUGGCUCAGUGGCAGAGCGCUUGCCUCACAGGUGUGAGGCACUGGGUUCAAUUCUCAGCACCA